ACACGACUACAUUAGAUACCCCGGUAGUCCCAGCCCUAAACGAUGCGCGUUAGGUGUAUCGGUGACCACGAGUCACCGAGGUGCCGAAGGGAAACCGUGAAACGUGCCGCCUGGGAAGUACGGUCGCAAGGCUGAAACUUAAAGGAAUUGGCGGGGGAGCACCACAACGGGUGGGGCCUGCGGUUUAAUUGGACUCAACGCCGGGAAGCUCACCGGAUAAGACAGCGGAAUGAUUGCCGGGCUGAAGACUCUGCAUGACUAGCUG
rnacentral:rRNA from 1 species